rnacentral:lncRNA from 12 species
ACCCCGAAGAGCUCGGGAGGUUUUGGGGUUUUCUGGGGAUUUGGGGCUCCCCCGGAAAUGUUUCCGGGGCGCCCCCACCUCAAUCUUCUCCUCGAUGAGCUGCUUGGCGUGGUCGAUCUGCUGGGGGGUCCCUCGGAUCACGAACAGUUUGAAGUUGGGGUCCCCGUUGGGGGGCAGCUGCCGCGAGAUCUCCACGAACGCCCCCGUCUGCUGGUUGAUGGCCUUGACGUUCUCCCCCCCUCGGCCGAUGACGACCCCGACCGAGUGUCGCGGCACCGGCACCUGGGGAGGCGGGGGGGCUCUGAGGGGCUGCACCCCCCUUGGGAAAAGGCUUGGGGUGCACAAAGGUUGGGCAUCUCCUUUUUUUUUGAGUGAAAAACGGUGAUUUUUGGAUAAAAGAAUGUGAGUUUUAGGGUGGAAAUGACAACUUUUGCUUCGAAACUGGCGUUUUUCAUGCUGAAGAAUGAGAUUGUUUGACUGAAACAAAAGGGUUUUAUUGGGAAGCAGGGUUCGUUAAAAUGCAAAAGGAAAAUUUGGUUUUUGAGCGAAAACUAAAACCUUCUAAAAUGGAAAACCCCCCCCCCCCCCCCCCCCCCCC